AUAUAUUAUAUAUAUUAUAUAACGAUAUAUAUAUAUAUAUAUAUUAUAUAAAUAUAUAAAUAAAUAAAUAUAUAAAUAUAUAUAAAGAAAAAGGAUGAGAGUGAGAAAUAUUGUGUACAUGUGCGAGUGAACGAGAGAGAGAGAGAAUAAAAGGAUGCAAAGGGAGAAAUUAUGUGAAAAUUCUGUGAAUGUGUCGCGUUGAAAAUGUUGUUAGGUGAAUUAUGAAAAAGAAGAAUUAAAAAUAAAUAAAGAUAUUGUAAAUGUUAUUACACACGUUGUACUGUACGUAAAACGAGUUAAAUGGGCAACAAAAAGAACAAAAAAAAAAAGAAGGAAGAAAUAAUUGCGAAAGAAGAAGCUAAGAGAUGAUGCUAAUGUAUAAGAAGAAAAAUUAAUGUAGUUACAAAAAUGAAAUAAACGAUACGACGAUUACUACGA